rnacentral:rRNA from 1 species
CCUACGGGAGGCAGCAGUGAGGAAUAUUGGUCAAUGGGCGCGAGCCUGAACCAGCCAAGUCGCGUGAGGGAUGAAGGUUCUAUGGAUCGUAAACCUCUUUUAUAAGGGGAUAAAGUGUGGGACGUGUCCUAUUUUGUAUGUACCUUAUGAAUAAGGAUCGGCUAACUCCGUGCCAGCAGCCGCGGUAAUACGGAGGAUCCGAGCGUUAUCCGGAUUUAUUGGGUUUAAAGGGUGCGUAGGCGGGCUUUUAAGCAAGCGGUGAAAGUCUGUGGCUCAACCAUAGGAUUGCCGUUGAAACUGGGGACCUUGAGUAUGUGUGAGGCAGGCGGAAUGCGUGGUGUAGCGGUGAAAUGCUUAGAUAUCACGCAGAACCCCGAUUGCGAAGGCAGCCUGCCAAGCCGUGACUGACGCUGAUGCACGAAAGCGUGGGGAUCGAACAGGAUUAGAUACCCGAGUAGUC